GACGAACGCUGGCGGCGUGCCUAAUACAUGCAAGUCGAGCGGACCGGAUUGGGGCUUGCCUUGAUUCGGUCAGCGGCGGACGGGUGAGUAACACGUGGGCAACCUGCCCGCAAGACCGGGAUAACUCCGGGAAACCGGAGCUAAUACCGGAUAACACCGAAGACCGCAUGGUCUUCGGUUGAAAGGCGGCCUUUGGGCUGUACCUUGCGGAUGGGCCCGCGGCGCAUUAGCUAGUUGGUGAGGUAACGGCUCACCAAGGCGACGAUGCGUAGCCGGCCUGAGAGGGUGACCGGCCACACUGGGACUGAGACACGGCCCAGACUCCUACGGGAGGCAGCAGUAGGGAAUCUUCCGCAAUGGGCGAAAGCCUGACGGAGCGACGCCGCGUGAGCGAAGAAGGCCUUCGGGUCGUAAAGCUCUGUUGUGAGGGACGAAGGAGCGCCGUUCGAAGAGGGCGGCGCGGUGACGGUACCUCACGAGAAAGCCCCGGCUAACUACGUGCCAGCCGCCGCAGUAA
rnacentral:rRNA from 1 species